rnacentral:rRNA from 1 species
GACGAACGCUGGCGGCGUGCUUAACACAUGCAAGUCGAACGGAAAGGCCCUGCCUUUGUGGGGUGCUCGAGUGGCGAACGGGUGAGUAACACGUGAGUAACCUGCCCUUGACUUUGGGAUAACUUCAGGAAACUGGGGCUAAUACCGGAUAGGAGUUCCUGCUGCAUGGUGGGGGAUGGAAAGUUUGGGCGUGUGGGGAUGGACUCGCGGCUUAUCAGCUUGUUGGUGGGGUGGUGGCUUACCAAGGCUUUGACGGGUAGCCGGCCUGAGAGGGUGACCGGCCACAUUGGGACUGAGAUACGGCCCAGACUCCUCCGGGAGGCAGCAGUGGGGAAUAUUGCACAAUGGGCGGAAGCCUGAUGCACAAACGCCGCGUGCGGGAUGACGGCCUUCGGGUUGUAAACCGCUUUCGCAUGUGACGAAGCGUGAGUGACGGUAAUGGGUAAAGAAGCACCGGCUAACUACGUG